AGAGUUUGAUCAUGGCUCAGAAUCAACGCUGGCGGCGUGCCUCAGACAUGCAAGUCGAACGAUUAAAGCUCCCUUCGGGGAGUGCAUAAAGUGGCGCACGGGUGAGUAACACGUAAGUAAUCUACCUUCGAGUGGGGAAUAACCCGGGGAAACCCGAGCUAAUACCGCAUAAUGCAGCGGCACCUAAUGGUGACAGUUGUUAAAGGAGCAAUCCGCUUGAAGAGGAGCUUGCGGCAGAUUAGCUUGUUGGUAAGGUAACGGCUUACCAAGGCUACGAUCUGUAUCCGGUCUAAGAGGACGGUCGGACACACUGACACUGAAUAACGGGUCAGACUCCUACGGGAGGCAGCAGUCGGGAAUUUUGGGCAAUGGGGGAAACCCUGACCCAGCAACGCCGCGUGAAGGAUGAAGUAUUUCGGUAUGUAAACUUCGAAAGAAUAGGAAGAAUUAAUGACGGUACUAUUUAUAAGGUCCGGCUAACUACGUGCCAGCAGCCGCGGUAAUACGUAGGGACCAAGCGUUGUUCGGAUUUACUGGGCGUAAAGGGCGCGUAGGCGGCGCGGUAAGUCACUUGUGAAAUCUCUGAGCUUAACUCAGAACGGCCAAGUGAUACUGCAGUGCUAGAGUGUGGAAGGGGCAAUCGGAAUUCUUGGUGUAGCGGUGAAAUGCGUAGAUAUCAAGAGGAACACCUGAGGUGAAGACGGGUUGCUGGGCCAACACUGACGCUGAUGCGCGAAAGCCAGGGGAGCAAACGGGAUUAGAUACCCCGGUAGUCCUGGCCCUAAACGAUGAAUACUUGGUGUCUGGAGUUUUAAUGCUCCGGGUGCCGUCGCUAACGUUUUUAGUAUUCCGCCUGGGGAGUACGCUCGCAAGAGUGAAACUCAAAGGAAUUGACGG
rnacentral:rRNA from 1 species